rnacentral:rRNA from 1 species
AUUGAACGCUGGCUGCAGGCCUAACACAUGCAAGUCGAACGAGUGGCGGACGGGUGAGGAAUGUCCGGGAAAAUGCCUGAUGGAGGGGGAUGAUUACUGGAAACGGUAGCGAAUACCGCAUAUCAUCGGUUGUGCCCAGAUGGGAUUAGCUAGUAGGUGUGGUAAGGGCUCACCUAGGCGACGAUCCCUAGCUGAUCUGAGAGGAUGACCAGGCACACUGGAACUGAGCCACGGUCCGGACGCCAACGGGAGGCGACAGUGGAGAAUAGUGCAUAAUGGACGCAGGCCUGAUGCAGCCAAGCCGCGUGUAUGAAAAGGGCCUUCGGGUUUUAAAGUACUUUCAGCGGGGAGGAGUUACCCGCUGAAGAAGCACCGGCUAACUCCGUGCCAGCCGCCGCGGUAAUUC